rnacentral:rRNA from 1 species
UGAUCCUGGCUCAGGAUGAACGCUGGCGGUAUGCUUAACACAUGCAAGUCGAACGGUCUUUUAGGAGACAGUGGCGGACGGGUGAGUAACGCGUAAGAAUCUACCUUCAGGUUGGGGACAACCACUGGAAACGGUGGCUAAUACCGAAUGUGCCGAGAGGUGAAAGGCUUGCUGCCUGAAGAAGAGCUUGCGUCUGAUUAGCUAGUUGGUAGUGUAAGAGACUACCAAGGCGACGAUCAGUAGCUGGUCUGAGAGGAUGAUCAGCCACACUGGGACUGAGACACGGCCCAGACUCCUACGGGAGGCAGCAGUGGGGAAUUUUCCGCAAUGGGCGAAAGCCUGACGGAGCAAUACCGCGUGAGGGAGGAAGGCUCUUGGGUUGUAAACCUCUUUUCUCAGGGAAGAACAGAAUGACGGUACCUGAGGAAUAAGCAUCGGCUAACUCCGUGCCAGCAGCCGCGGUAAUACGGAGGAUGCAAGCGUUAUCCGGAAUGAUUGGGCGUAAAGGGUCCGCAGGUGGCAUUGUAAGUCUGCUGUUAAAGAGUUUGGCUCAACCAAAUAAGAGCAGUGGAAACUACAAAGCUAGAGUGUGGUCGGGGCAGAGGGAAUUCCUGGUGUAGCGGUGAAAUGCGUAGAUAUCAGGAAGAACACCAGUGGCGAAGGCGCUCUGCUAGGCCGAGACUGACACUGAGGGACGAAAGCUAGGGGAGCGAAUGGGAUUAGAUACCCCAGUAGUCCUAGCCGUAAACGAUGGAUACUAGGCGUAGCUCGUAUCGACCCGAGCUGUGCCGGAGCUAACGCGUUAAGUAUCCCGCCUGGGGAGUACGCAGGCAACUGUGAAACUCAAAGGAAUUGACGGGGGCCCGCACAAGCGGUGGAGUAUGUGGUUUAAUUCGAUGCAACGCGAAGAACCUUACCAAGGCUUGACAUGUCACGAAUCCUAUUGAAAGAUGGGAGUGCCUUCGGGAGCGUGAACACAGGUGGUGCAUGGCUGUCGUCAGCUCGUGUCGUGAGAUGUUGGGUUAAGUCCCGCAACGAGCGCAACCCUCGUUUUUAGUUGCCAGCAUUAAGAUGGGCACUCUAGAGAGACUGCCGGUGACAAACCGGAGGAAGGUGGGGAUGACGUCAAGUCAGCAUGCCCCUUACGUCUUGGGCUACACACGUACUACAAUGCUCCGGACAAAGGGCAGCUACACAGCGAUGUGAUGCGAAUCUCAUAAACCGGAGCUCAGUUCAGAUCGAAGGCUGCAACUCGCCUUCGUGAAGGAGGAAUCGCUAGUAAUUGCAGGUCAGCAUACUGCAGUGAAUUCGUUCCCGGGCCUUGUACACACCGCCCGUCACACCAUGGAAGUUGGUCACGCCCGAAGUCGUUACCCCAACCUAUUGGAGGGGGAUGCCUAAGGUAGGACUGAUGACUGGGGUGAAGUCGUAACAAGGUAGCCGUACCGGAAGGUGUGGCUGGAUCACCUCCUUUUAGGGAGACCUAAUCCAUUUAGAAAUUGACGGUGAUGAAAAUUGCCAAUAAAAACUAAAUUGGUCUAACCUAGGUCGGUCGA